UAACAGCAAGUUUAGGAAAGAGAAAGAACUUGUAGGAACUAUUGGAGGGAAUGAGUCUCUUUGGGGGGUCCUAGUAGGGAGAAUGUCAAAUUAAAUCCUUCCCAGCUGGUUGCUCAGGAAAAGAUUCUCCUGUUUAGCAGUUAAGCACACACAAAAAAGUCAUGCAACGGCCUUCCCUAUAGUGGUGAGAUCACAUUAAAUAGCUACUUCAAGUGUCACUAAAGCAUUAUAACUGCUCUUAAGUGUAUGUAGAAUGAGAUUACUUUAGAAAAACAUUUCGAAAAAUCAUAUGCUUUUCCCAUAUGUUCAGUAUUUAAUGUUGUUGGACAAUGACUGCCUAAAACUUCAUACACAGCAAAAAAAAAAAAAAAUCUAACAACGAACAUUUAAGUUUAGUUCCCAUAAGUCUCAGAAUUUCAUGCCCUCAAUUUUUUCCCUAUCAUACACAUUUUUAAAAGACUAAUCUAGUGGAUAAGGAUAUGCUAUCAAAACCUGAAACUCAUGAAUCGGAAAUCAUCUUGCACAUUAACUUGUAAUCUUAUAACAAUUUUUGUCUCUGCACACAUAAAAUGUAAAUUCUGCACGCAUAAAAUGUAAAAAAUCUCAAACAGUUUAGUGUUUUGUAUAUUUAAAUCAUUAUGUUCUAUAACAAACAAUAAUUUAGGUAUUGUCAGUAAGAUGGAAUUAGCAACAUUUCUAUUUCUCCCAAGUAAAAAUAUAGAAUGAUAUAAAGAACUGGAUGCCUUGAUGAAAGUACCUGUAUUACAGCAAAUUAUAGCAAAAGACAGAAGUAGAAAGGAAAAACAAAAAUUGAUAUACUGAAUAUAGAGGUGGGAAAUGAUUGCAAACUAUAAUUCUUAUUAGUGAAAUAAAGCACUAAAGGAAUAUGUAAAGGGAAAAAAUAAAAUUUCAACUAAAAAAUAGUCUAGUGUUAACAUAUUAAAUGACAACCAACUUAUAAGCUCUUGGACCCAACAGAGAUAAAUUAGUUUAAGAAAGGCAAAUUUUGCUGGGUUCAGUGGCUCAGGCUUAUAAUCCCAGCACUUUGAGGGGCCAAGUAGGAGAAUCACUUGAGGCCAGGAGUUCAAGACAAGCCUGAGCAACGUAGCGAGAGCCUGUCACUACAAAAAAGUAACAAUAAAAAAAUUAGCCAGGCAUGGGUGCAAGCCUGUAGUCCCAGCUACUCAGGAGGCUGAGAUGGGAGGAUCACUUGAGUCCAGGAGUUCACGACUGCAGAGAGCCAUGAUAGCCACUGCAUUCCAGCCCAGGUGUCAGAGUGAGACUCUGUCUCAAUAAAAUAAAAUAAUUAAAUAAAUAUAAAAAAAAGAAAAGGCCAAGUGUGGUGGCUCACGCCUAUAAUCCCAUUACUUUGGGAGGCUGAGGUGGGCAGAUCACUUAAGCCCAGGAGUUUAAGAUCAGCUUCGGCAACAUGGCAAAACCUCAUCUUCUACCAAAAUAAAAAAUUAGCCAGGCAUGGUAGUGCGUGCCUAUGGUCCCAGCUACUCAUGAGUCUGAGGUGGGAAGACGGCUUAAGCCCAGGACACAGAGGCUAUAGGGAGCUGACAUCGCACCACUGCACUCUAGCCUGGGCAACAGACCCAGACCCUGUCUCCAAGGGGAAAAAAAAAAAAAAAAGAAAGGCAAAUUUCAUGCAGCAUUGUUUCAUUUGUUCCCCUUGUAAACACAUUUAAAUGUAUCACAGGAUCUGUAACUAUCAAAACUGCCCACAGCAUCAAAUUAAAAAUACAGUUCUAAUCCAGACACGGCGGAUGAAAGGGAUCAUGGCUAACUAGUGAAACAGCACUGAUAGUCAAAUGAAGGGCUGGAACCUUGAAGUAAAAAGAAGAAAAGGAUCAUCGAGAGAAAAGUUACGAUGGGCUAGACUUCUGGUUAUUUCAGAAAUGGGUAGCAAAAGACAAAGGCUCUUAACCUCCCAGAAUUAGGUGACAACCUCAGCCAAUCUAUCUCCCUAGUAAAGCCAGAACUAAGAUGGGAAAAAAAGACCAUUUUUAAAUGAACAAACCAAAUUUAUGCUUAGGGCUGUAUUCGCUUAAUGGAGGAACAGUCAUUUCAAAAUUAGUAAAACAAAAGCUUUAUAUGAAAAAACAUAGUAUAAUUCUGAAUGAUUUUCAUACAAUCAUUAUCAAGCAUAAGUGAUACUGGAUACCUGAAGCUGACAUGAGGGAAAAAGGCUCAGGGAGAUUUCACAACUUUGUACAGCAGUGGCUUGAAAGGAUAUAACUAUAUUUACCAUAAAACAAGAAGUAGUCAUUUUUACCUUACACAAUUUAUAAGAAUUUUUAGAAAAAUAGAAAUAACUCACAUGUAAUUCAGGUAUACCAAACUUUCCUGCCUUCCUACUAAAUGGAACUAGAAAAGCAAAAUGCUGAUUUUUUCCAGGUACUCCGAAAAUACCUUUAUAAUUUUAACCAUAAUUUGUUUAGUCUAAAAAGGUAUUGCUCCAAUACCAGAAGCUACAGGUGAAAAACAUAUCUCUCAACUGAAGACAACUUCUUGAAUAACUGUGUCACUGACAAGUUUACUCUCUGAGCUUCAGUUUCCAAACUGAGAAGGAGGAAUAACUGCCCUGCCUGUCCCACACUUCUGGCUGCUGAAAUAAUCUCAAUUUAUUUUUUCUUUAUUUUUUUUUUACAAACUACAUGCAAAUUUAAAUUUUCCAAUUCAUAAAGUAAAAGGGGUCCAAUAAAACACUAUCAUGUCCUACCUCACAGGUUACUGUAGGUAUUGUUUUCAAAAUGUGAACAAUACUACAGACUGAAAGAGGAAAAAAAAACUAGUUGAAAGUAGAAUUAGUUUUUAAGGGCAUGGCUAAGGCAAAAUUAGAAAUAUAUAUAUAAGGCUGGGUGUGGUGGCCUACACAUGUAAUCCCAGCACUUUGGGAGGCUGAGGCAUGAGGAUCACCUGAGCCCAGGAGUUUGAGACCAGCCUAGGCAACAUAGCAAGACCCCAUACUUACAGAAAAUUUAAAAAAAAAAUUAGGCAUGGUGACACAUGCCUGUGGUCCCAGCUUCUUGGGAGGCUGAGAUGGGAGGAUCACUUGAGCCCAGGAGGUUGAGGCUGCAGUAAGCCAUGUUUGUGCCACUGCACUCCAGCCUGAGUGACAGAGAACCCCAUCUCAAAAAAAUAAAUAAAUAAAAAGAAAAGAAAUAUAUAUAGGAAUGGGAAUUAGAACUCUCAAGUAUAGAGCCACCCACUAUGCCUACCCUUAAGCAAAACUGCCCCACCAAUUCAAAAUACCCAGAGACACGUCCAUUUUCAUGAUCUUGUAUGUACAUAUAUGAGACUUAUAAGAUAUUCAUUGCAGCAUUAUUUGCAAUAGCCAAGCUGUGAGAACAAGUUAAAUGUCCACUAACAGAAAAAGGGAUAAAGUAAAUGCGGUAUAUGUAGAAAAUGGAAUAUUAUUCAGACUUAAAAAGGAAAACUUGCCAUAUGCAAAAACAUGGAUGAACCUUGAUGACUUUAUGCUACGUGAAAUAAACUAGUCACAGAAAGACAAAUAAUGCAUGAUUCCACUUGUGUCAGGUAAUUAAAAUAGUCAACCCCACAGAAAGAGUGUAGAAUGGUGGAUGCCAGGGGCUAUGAAGACAGGGAAAUGGGAAGCUGCUAUUCAAGGGGUAUAAAGCUUCAGUUAUAAAGAGUGAAACGUUCCAGAGAUCUGCUGCACAUCCUCAUGCCUAUAGUUAGCAAUACUGUAUUGUACACCUAAAACAUUGUUAAGAGGGUAGAUCUCAUGUUAGAUGUUCUUACUACAAUAAAAAAAGAAAAAGAUACUGAUGCACAAGAAUAACUAAUCUUUCUUCCCUCCCUUACCAAAAAGAUUCCCCACAGGAGAAGGCAGAAAACUAAUCCAUUAUUAAAGUGAAGAGAGGAGAGAGGAGCCAAGAUGGCCGAAUAGGAACAGCUCCGGUCUACAGCUCCCAGCGUGAGAGACGCAGAAGACAGGCGAUUUCUCCAUUUCCAUCUGAGAUUGUGCAAUAUAACAGAGGAACCAAGAAGAAACCUCUCACUUGACCUUCUCUGGGUAACUUCAUUCAUUGCUUCUAUUGCAUUAAAUGCUGUCACAUUUGUGGAACUGAAAAGAACAAUGUCAGUAGCCUGGGUGUCAAGUCCUGAGAAUAGAGAGCUGUCAUUUUAA